rnacentral:rRNA from 1 species
CCUACGGGAGGCAGCAGUGAGGAAUAUUGGUCAAUGGACGCAAGUCUGAACCAGCCAUGCCGCGUGCGGGAUGACGGCCCUAGGAUUUGUAAACUGCUUUUGUAGGAGGGUAAACGCAGAUACGCGUACCUGUCUGAAAGUAUCGUACGAAUAAGGAUCGCCUAACUCCAUGCCAGCAGCCGCGGUAAUACGGAGGGUUCAAGCGUUGUUCGGAUUUAUUGGGCUUAAAGGGUGCGUAGGCGGUAGGUUAAGUUAGAGGUGAAAUCCCGAGGCUCAACUUGGGAACUGCCUCUGAUACUGGCCGGCUAGAGAGUAGUUGUGGUAGGCGGAAUGUAAGGUGUAGCGGUGAAAUGCGUAGAGAUCA